UGCCUGACUCUGGGUAGCCCACUGCUAGACGGUUACGGAUAUCGCUAUCAGUCUGCUGCCCCCUUUCGCCUAUAAAAGGGGGCCCCAGAUACGUUAUUCUCGAGCUCUCAUUUUUACCUAGAAACUUUGUUAAAAUUUCCGUUCGAGCACUCCAUUCUUGUUGAGGCAGAGAACUGACUUGAGCGUCGGAGGGUCUUGCCAGAGCAACCCCACCUUCGGUUUAGACUUCUUUUGCAGGUCCCGGC
rnacentral:lncRNA from 1 species